rnacentral:lncRNA from 1 species
CUGAGCCAGAAUGAGCUUUGUCACGAAAGAGCCUCGAGGUGGGUGGGAGUAAAGGGGGCGUUGUGAGAACAAUGGGAGAGUCGGCUUUAAGUGGAAGAAGAAAGAGCCACUAUCUACAGCAUGGAGUGGGGUUGGGGGGGAGACAACCUUCACAAGGUUCACAGCUUUUCGGGGUAUGUGUGUGGAGGGGAGUCAGUCUUCCUUAGCCUCUGUGACUCCCGGGUUCACUGAACCAGCAUCCUGACACUGAAGAACAACCUGCUGGUCCAGAUCAAAAGUCAAUAUAUGACAAUAAAACUACAGGAACAAGGGCUGGAGAGUAGCCCAGCCUUCAAUCCCAGCACUUGGGAGGAGGCAGGAAACAAUUGGAAACUUCAGGCAGCCUGUUGGAGACCCAUCACCCAGAAUCAGAGAGUUUCAAGGAACUAAGUUUGAGUUUAUUGAGCUAAUGUUUACAAAGCCCUCUUGAAAACUUUGCUGGCCAGGUAUGGUAGCAUCUGUCAUUCUACCAUUCUGGAAGCAGAGGCAGGAGAAUUUCAGCAAGUUCACAAGCCUGGUCUACACAGCUCUAAGUUAUCAAGGUACAUGGAGAGACCCUGACUCAAAACAAAACAACCUCCAUGUUGUCCCUUAAAACAAACAAACAAAAACCAAAA